rnacentral:lncRNA from 1 species
CCACAGCUGUGAUCUCCAUAAAAGGGGACUGUGGGUAGGCCCGGGAGGAAGUUCCAGGAAGGAGCACUGCGAGAGGGAACUAUGAGCGCCUGCUGAAGGAGAACCUCGGUCCCUAAGCAGAAAUCCCCUUGCCUGGGAGGCCCGACCAGGCCCGCUUGUCUGAGGGCUCCUGUUCAGCAAUCAUCAUCCACCAGUGCCUAUCACCUGGCACACGACAGCCUGGCCGCUGCUGGAAUGAAGACAGAGAGGCCUCCAGCACUCAUGGGCAGAGGGGAGACAGGCACGCAGCUGCACCACAACGCUUGCCGCCGAGGCUGUGUUCACUGGAGCUGGGAGAGGUCGGGAGGAAUUGUCAGAGCAGAGGCGGCAAUGCGGCCGAGACUCCACGUGCGAAGGGCACCCAGCGCACAGUUUCCGCCUGGGGAACGGUGACUUCUGGAUGCCUGCAGAAUCUCCGAGAAGAGACGUUUGCCAGGCAGCUUGAAAUAAAGGUUUGGAGUUCAAGAGGGAGUUCUGCGAUGGAGAAAUGCUUCGGGAAAGAGCUUCAGGAGGCAGCCGUCCGGGAGGCAGGUGGGAGUGGCAGUUUACGGAGCAGGGCGGGUUAUGAGCCCGGUCGGAAGGCGGGCAGAACACGCUCCACUCUCCUAGCGCCAGGCCUGGACGCCCACCCCAGGUGGGCCGCCAGAUCCCGGAGAGGGGCAGAGCUGACUGUGCCUACACUGCACGGGAAUGCUGAGCCCCGUCCUUAACCUUCCUUCCACGUGACUGGACCCCAUUUGGAAUCCACUUUUGCUUCCUACCCCCUUUAAUCCACUCCGCCAGAGGAAAGGAGUGUAUUCGGUAACUACGUUGGGGAAGAAGGAACUGGGCGUAUUGGAGUCAGCCCCCCUUGGGAGGCGCCCCCGUCUCCUCCGGGCCACCCAACCUCGGCAGGAGGGGAGGCCUGCCCAGCCCGACAUUGCUGGUGACUCACCCUAAGCCACAGCCUCACUGGGCCUUUCUCAGUGGGAAAAGCGACAUUCAUGGAGGUCCAUCCAAUGGCACCCUGUCCUAAUUUACAAUUCGUUUUGUUUUUUAAGAGACGGGGUUCUCAUUAUGUUGCCCAGGCUGGUCUCGAAUCCCUAGGCUUAAGGGCUCCUCUGGCUCCGAAAGUUUUAGGAUUCCCGGCGUGAACCACCGCGCGGCCACGAUUUGUUCGAAGCUGGGCAAGGCCGGUGGCGCUAGUAUCCGACCACCCUUACCUGAGAGGCCGCUGGGGCGCAGAGGAGCCCACGAUUAAGGGCGCGCGGGAUGUGAAAACGCCCCUCGCGCUAACACACACGCCUGCACCCAGAACCGGGCUGUGGGUUACAGGGGAGGCAGCACCUGAGCGCCAGCACUGGCGUGGUGGGCAAGGGAAAAGGGGGCUUUGCUUCUCAAGGGUAGCCGAGGAAGCGGCAUGCGGAAGGCCGGGCUUGGAGUGGGGACCCCGAGCGUUUACCGAGAACGCUCAGGGGGCCGCGCGGCUCCGGCCCCUUCUGAGCUCCCUUCCCAGCCCCUGCGCUAGAAGCUGAGGCUCAGAAAGGUAACAGCGAGCCUCCGAGGACAGGCACAGGAAGCCAGACGAAACCCCAGGACAGCACCGUCCUCCUCUGUCCCUUGAGCAGACCCUCGGCACAGGACGACGGUCAGCUAUGCACAGUGACAUCCUCCCGGUGACUUGUGGGAAAAUCGGUAUGUAAAAUAGGAUUGAGCCGCUGCGUCCGGCCAAGGUAUCCAUUUUAACGUUUUGUAUAUAUAAAUAGAUAUUUACAUAAUACUGAAACAUAUCUUCAAGGACAUAUCAAACUGUCAGUGGCAGAAGAAACAGGAAUUAGAAGAAUGAGAAUUUUCACUUUUAUUUACUUCUAAAUUGAACUUGUUUAGAAACAAAUUCAAACAGCAAACUGCAUUGCUGUAAUUUUUAAAAAGAGAUAUGCAGGGAAGACCCACUCAGGAGCCCCUCUCUGCAGGAGAGAGCUUUUCUUUCCUUUCUCUUGCCUAUUAAACCUUCACUCUUAAACUCACUUCUUGUGUGUCCAUGUCCUUGAUUUCCUUGGCAUGGGACAACGAACCUCGGGUAUUUACCCCAGACAACAACGCCACUUCAUUUUGGGGUCCCGUCCAGGAUUGGAAAGUACAUUUAUCGGAAAGAAUGUUGAAGAUAGAACAUCCAGAUGGUGCUACAGAUGGAGCCACGCAUGGACACACCUUUCUUCCAAGGACCCUUAAAUCAACCCCAGGAGGAGCCUUAACUGCUGUUCCCCACAUGACACCCCUCUUCAGCAGGAAGUAGCCAGAAAGAGUCAUCAUCCAACACCCCCUAACAGCAGUGAGUUACCACUCCUUAUAGGGGAAAUGAUACCGGAGCUAGAAAGAAAUUAUUUAGGCAGAUAGUGAGGGUAAGAGAGUCGUUGGUAAGGUUUCUUUUUAAUAAAAAGCAGCCCCCAAAUCAUUUCUAACAAAAAGCAGCCU